rnacentral:rRNA from 1 species
AUUGAACGCUGGCGGCAGGCUUAACACAUGCAAGUCGAGCGAGCGGCGGACGGGUGAGUAAUGUCUGGGAAACUUCCUGAUGGAGGGGGAUAACUACUGGAAACGGUCGCUAAUACCGCAUACCCUCAGAUGUGCCCAGAUGGGAUUAGCUAGUAGGUGGGGUAAUGGCUCACCUAGGCGACGAUCCCUUGCUGGUCUGAGAGGAUGACCAGCAACACGGGAACUGAGACAUGGUCCAGACUCAAACGGGAGGCAGCAGUGGGGAAUAUUGCACAAUGGGCGCAAGCCUGAUGCAGCCAUGCGGAGUGUGUGAAGAAGGCCUUCGGGUUGUAAAGCACUUUCAGCGAGGAGGCGUUACUCGCAGAAGAAGCACCGGCUAACUCCGUGCCAGCAGCCGCGGUAAUUC